CUUCUAUAUGGUUAUUCAUAGUUGUCUACUUUCUAGCAAUUGCUGAAAAUGUUAAAAUUUUCAACUUUAUGCUUUGGUCUGCUUGUUCCUUUAUUUUUAUUUUUUAUUUUAAAAUUCUGUUAUUAAAUUCUGUUAUUUUUUUAUUUUGAAAUUCUGUUAUUUCUUUUUAUCCUCUUUUUUAUUAAGGGCACACAUAGGGUUAUGUUUUGAUAAGUUGAUCCAUUUAUCAUCAUAAAAUCUUUAUGAUGAUACUCAUUUUGAAGUCACUAAUGAUUUAUGUACUCCCAUCUGUUUUGUAUUGUUUUCAAAUGUAUCUUUUCCCAUCCUUUUAUUUUCUGUCUGCCUCUAUCUUUAUAUUUAAAGUGUGUUUCUUACAAAUAGCAUAUAACUUGAAUCUUGCUUCUUAUCCAUUGUGAAAAUCUACAUUUUACUUGGGGUAUUUAGCACAUUUCUAAUUAAUGCGAUUAUAGAUAAGCUUGGGUUCAAUUCUUCCCUCUUGAUAUCUGCUUUUUAUUUAUCUGAUCCAUUCUUUUUCUUCUCUUCUUUUCCAGACUAAAUAAUGAGUGAAUCCUACUUUAAUGUCCUGUUUUAUCUUUCAUAUUGAAAUUUUUGUUAUAAUUUUAUCUGUUUUUGAAUGGACAAACUAUUUGUCUUUAUCACAUCUACCUUCAACUAAUAUCCUAAUGUUUCACACAUAGUAGUAUUCCAUUCCACGUUAUGUGCUUUUUUUUAAUAAUUUCCUUCUAUUCAUGCUACUAACUCCAUAGUACUUAUAUUUUUCUUUAUUUUAAACAGGCAAUAUUAUUUUAAAUACAUUUAAAAUAUUACAUAUAUUUAUAUGGAUAGAGAAUUUUUUUUACCAAAAAAAAAAAAUUAUUUGCAUUUACCCAGGUAUUUGCGCUUUCUAAUGUUCUUUGUUUUUUUCCUCCUCAGAUCUCUAUUUCGAUGUAGUAUAAUUUCCAGUUUGCCUAAAGAACUUCUAUUAGCAUUUCUUCUAAUAUAAUAAUGAUGGAGAAAAAUUCAGCUAUUCUUUCUCUGAAAAUGUCAUUGUUUCUCCUUUAUUUUCGAAUGACUGUUUCACUGAAGUAAAAUACUAAAUUGAUGUUUUUGUUUUUUUAUUUUUCAGCACUUUAACCAUGUUGUUCAUUGUGUC
rnacentral:lncRNA from 1 species